UUCAUCUUCACCUUCCUACACCCACGCCCACACCCAAAAACCAUUGAAUGAAAUCUUCUUCUCCUUCUUCUUCCAAGCACCCAUCAGACGAGGACCUAAAAUGCACUGCCACAAAUUUACCUUCAUAUUUUCUGAUACUGCCUCUUUCUUCUCCUUUCAGUUUCAUCCACAACGCCCAUUUCUCAAAAACCAGUCAAUUUCAAAACCCAAAUUCAUGUUACUCAAAAUAGCAACUUCAAAUAUUAUUCGUGAAGUUCAUAGCUCCAUUGAUAAUUUUUUUUAAAUGCUACAUGCUUUUGCGUCCCAGAAUGCUUUUGUUGAUAAAUUUCUUUCAUUUUCUUGUCGUCUUUCAACUUGCCACUAGGUAAUUUCAGCUCUUUCUGAAUAUGUAAAUGGGUAUGCUUCUAGUCCGCCAUCGGCGUUGAAAUUAGGGUUCUUCAAGUUAAUGUAAUCGAGUAUUAAUUUUAUUGAUUAAGUUUGCUA
rnacentral:lncRNA from 1 species